UACGAGGGGGGCGAGCGUUGUUCGGAAUUAUUGGGCGUAAAGGGCGCGUAGGCGGUGCGGUAAGUCACCUGUGAAACCUCUGGGCUCAACUCAGAGCCUGCAGGCGAAACUGCCGUGCUGGAGGGUGGGAGAGGUGCGUGGAAUUCCCGGUGUAGCGGUGAAAUGCGUAGAUAUCCGCAGGAACAUCCGAGGCGAAAGCGGCUCGCUGGAUCACAACUGACGCUGAGGGACGAAAGCUAGGGGAGCAAACAGG
rnacentral:rRNA from 1 species